UACGAGAGGCCCAACCGUUAUUCGGAUUUACUGGGCUUAAAGAGUUCGUAGGCGGUGCAGAAAGUGGGGUGUGAAAGCCCUCGGCUCAACCGAGGAAUUGCGCUCCAAACUACUGUACUAGAGGAAGCUAGAGGUGAGCAGAACAGAUGGUGGAGCGGUGAAAUGCGUUGAUAUCAUCUGGAAUACCGGAGGCGAAGGCGGCUCACUGGGGCUUUUCUGACGCUGAGGAACGAAAGCCAGGGUAGCGAACGGG
rnacentral:rRNA from 1 species